rnacentral:rRNA from 1 species
CCUACGGGGGACAGCAGUGGGGAAUAUUGCACAAUGGGGGAAACCCUGAUGCAGCGACGCCGCGUGAGUGAAGAAGUAUUUCGGUAUGUAAAGCUCUAUCAGCAGGGAAGAAAAUGACGGUACCUGAUUAAGAAGCCCCGGCUAACUACGUGCCCGCAGCCGCGGUAAUACGUAGGGGGCAAGCGUUAUCCGGAUUUACUGGGUGUAAGGGGAGCGUAGACGGCAGCACAAGUCUGGAGUGAAAUGCCGGGGCUUAACCCCGGAACUGCUUUGGAAACUGUGCAGCUAGAGUGCAGGAGAGGUAAGUGGAAUUCCUAGUGUAGCGGUGAAAUGCGUAGAUAUUAGGAGGAACACCAGUGGCGAAGGCGGCUUACUGGACUGUAACUGACGUUGAGGCUCGAAAGCGUGGGGAGCAAACAGGAUUAGAUACCCCUGUAGUC